AUUGAACGCUGGCGGCAGGCUUAACACAUGCAAGUCGAACGAGUGGCGGACGGGUGAGUAAUGUUUGGGAAUCUGCCUUAUGGAGGGGGAUAACUACGGGAAACUGUAGCUAAUACCGCGUACCAUAGGAUGAGCCCAAGUGGGAUUGGGUAGUAGGUGGGGUAAAGGCUCACAAAGGCGACGAUCCCUAGCUGGUCUGAGAGGAUGACCAGCCACACUGGGACUGAGACACGGCCCAGACUCCUACGGGAGGCAGCAGUGGGGAAUAUUGCGCAAUGGGCGCAAGCCUGAUGCAGCCAUGCCGCGUGAAUGAAGAAGGCCUUCGGGUUGUAAAGUUCUUUCGGUAGGGAGGCGUUACCUGCAGAAGAAGCACCGGCUAACUCCGUGCCAGCAGCCGCGGUAAUAC
rnacentral:rRNA from 1 species